AGUGAACGCUGGCGGCGUGCUUAACACAUGCAAGUCGAACGAGAACGGAAUAUAGCUUGCUAUAUUUGUCAGCUAAGUGGCGCACGGGUGAGUAAUAUAUAGAUAACCUGCCCUUAAGAAAGGAAUAACAGUUGGAAACGACUGCUAAUGCCCUAUAUGCCUUUAAUACAUAAGUAUGCAAGGGAAACGCUUUAGUGCUUAAGGAUGGGUCUGUAUGGUAGCAGCUUGUUGGUGAGGUAAUGGCUCACCAAGGCUAUGACGCCUAACUGGUUUGAGAGGAUGAUCAGUCACACUGGAACUGAGACACGGUCCAGACUCCUACGGGAGGCAGCAGUGGGGAAUAUUGCACAAUGGACGAAAGUCUGAUGCAGCGACGCCGCGUGGAGGAUGACACAUUUCGGUGCGUAAACUCCUUUUAUAUAGGAAGAUAAUGACGGUACUAUAUGAAUAAGCACCGGCUAACUACGUGCCAGCAGCCGCAGUAA
rnacentral:rRNA from 1 species